GACGAACGCUGGCGGCGUGCUUAACACAUGCGAGUCGUACGGUAAGGCCCUUUCGGGGGUACACGAGUGGCGAACGGGUGAGUAACACGUGAGUAACCUGCCCACAACUUUGGGAUAACGCUAGGAAACUGGUGCUAAUACUGGAUAUGUGCUCCUGCUGCAUGGUGGGGGUUGGAAAGCUCCGGCGGUUGUGGAUGGACUCGCGGCCUAUCAGCUUGUUGGUGGGGUAGUGGCCUACCAAGGCGGCGACGGGUAGCCGGCCUGAGAGGGUGACCGGCCACAUUGGGACUGAGAUACGGCCCAGACUCCUACGGGAGGCAGCAGUGGGGAAUAUUGCACAAUGGGCGCAAGCCUGAUGCAGCAACGCCGCGUGCGGGAUGACAGCCUUCGGGUUGUAAACCGCUUUCAGCAGGGACGAAGCUUUUUGUGACGGUACCUGCAGAAGAAGCACCGGCUAACUACGUG
rnacentral:rRNA from 1 species